UGAUUGGUCGACUUUUCUGUGGGUAAGUGAUUUCUUGGAUACUCUCAUUACUCUCAUUAAUUGAGUGAAAUGACCAUGAGAUUUUUUUUUUGGUUGAUUACUAUUGCAUUUUAUGCUUUCUCAUGCAGUGUCCUGAUGCUUUAAAAUUGGACUCUUUUGUUUGUUUUACACUAUUAAUCAAUGAGGGUACAACAAUAUUUCAGGUUAGGCUCUGCAAGAGCUGUUA
rnacentral:misc_RNA from 1 species